rnacentral:lncRNA from 1 species
GAAAUUUGACGGAUGAAAAUGAAAAUGGAAAUCGGGAAAAUGAUUCGUAUGGUGUGAGGAUGAGAAAGGUGGGAGCUUUUGUGGUGUUCAAGGACGUUUUUGCAAGGUGAAAAAAUGGGUUUUGAAGGUUUGAAGGUGUAAAAAUGGUGAAGAAAAGGAGUCUGCCCCGAGCUUAUACAGACGCUGUGGCGGGCGCCACAGGGUCUAUGGCGG